rnacentral:misc_RNA from 1 species
AAGUCGUAACAAGGUUUCCGUAGGUGAACCUGCGGAAGGAUCAUUAAGGAACAGAGUGGUACCGUGCGUGCUGGUCCAAUUGACUAUGCCGUACGCGUUCACUUUAUUUCCAUGCGUACGGUUUAUUUGGGGCAAUGCCUAUGCCCUGUUCCUAUUUUAGGAAACAGUGGCUGCCGGGCGUUGCACUAUCUAACCAAACACCAAUCAACUUACAAGACUGAAGGGGAUAACCAUAACCAAAAUACAACUUUUAACAAUGGAUCUCUAGGCUCUU